rnacentral:rRNA from 1 species
AGCAAACAGGAUUAGAUACCCUGGUAGUCCACGCUGUAAACGAUGAGUACUAGGUGUCGGGGGUUACCCCCUUCGGUGCCGCAGCUAACGCAUUAAGUACUCCGCCUGGGAAGUACGCUCGCAAGAGUGAAACUCAAAGGAAUUGACGGGGACCCGAACAAGUAGCGGAGCAUGUGGGUUAAUUCGAAGCACCGCGAAGAACCUUACCUAAGCUUGACAUCCCAAUGACAUCUCCUUAAUCGGAGAGUUCCCUUCGGGGACAUUGGUGACAGGUGGUGCAUGGUUGUCGUCAGCUCGUGUCGUGAGAUGUUGGGUUAAGUCCCGCAACGAGCGCAACCCUUGUCUUUAGUUGCCAUCAUUAAGUUGGGCACUCUAGAGAGACUGCCAGGGAUAACCUGGAGGAAGGUGGGGAUGACGUCAAAUCAUCAUGCC